AGAUUGAACGCUGGCGGCAGGCCUAACACAUGCAAGUCGAGCGGCAGCACGGGUACUUGUACCUGGUGGCGAGCGGCGGACGGGUGAGUAAUGCCUAGGAAUCUGCCUGGUAGUGGGGGAUAACGCUCGGAAACGGACGCUAAUACCGCAUACGUCCUACGGGAGAAAGCGGGGGACCUUCGGGCCUCGCGCCAUUAGAUGAGCCUAGGUCGGAUUAGCUAGUUGGUGAGGUAAUGGCUCACCAAGGCGACGAUCCGUAACUGGUCUGAGAGGAUGAUCAGUCACACUGGAACUGAGACACGGUCCAGACUCCUACGGGAGCAGCAGUGGGAAUAUUGGACAAUGGGCGAAAGCCUGAUCCAGCCAUGCCGCGUGUGUGAAGAAGGUCUUCGGAUUGUAAAGCACUUUAAGUUGGAGAAGGUUGUAACCUAAUACGUUGCAACUUUGACGUUACGACAGAAUAAGCACCGGCUAACUCGUGCCAGCAGCCG
rnacentral:rRNA from 1 species